CCCCCUGUGGCUCAGUUGGUAGAGCAUGGUGUGUGCAACACCAGGGUUGUGGGUUUGAUUCCCACGGGGGGC
rnacentral:tRNA from 1 species